GGGUGGUAAUGCCGGAUGCUCCAGUUGUCCGCAUGGUCUUCUGGGAAAGCUUUCGCGGUAUGGGAUGGGGUCGCGUCCUAUCAGCUUGACGGCGGGGUAACGGCCCACCGUGGCUUCGACGGGUAGCCGGCCUGAGAGGGCGACCGGCCACAUUGGGACUGAGAUACGGCCCAGACUCCUACGGGAGGCAGCAGUGGGGAAUAUUGCACAAUGGGCGCAAGCCUGAUGCAGCGACGCCGCGUGAGGGAUGGAGGCCUUCGGGUUGUAAACCUCUUUUAUCGGGGAGCAAGCGAGAGUGAGUUUACCCGUUGAAUAAGCACCGGCUAACUACGUGCCAGCAGCCGCGGUAAUACGUAGGGUGCAAGCGUUAUCCGGAAUUAUUGGGCGUAAAGGGCUCGUAGGCGGUUCGUCGCGUCCGGUGUGAAAGUCCAUCGCUUAACGGUGGAUCCGCGCCGGGUACGGGCGGGCUUGAGUGCGGUAGGGGAGACUGGAAUUCCCGGUGUAACGGUGGAAUGUGUAGAUAUCGGAAAAA
rnacentral:rRNA from 1 species